UAUGAAAUGCUCCGGCGCCAUAGGAUGUGACUGCGGCCGAUUAGGUAGACGGUGGGGUAACGGCCCACCGUGCCGAUAAUCGGUACGGGUGGUGAGAGCCAGAGCCCGGAGAUGGAAUCUGAGACAAGAUUCCAGGCCCUACGGGGCGCAGCAGGCGCGAAAACUUUACAAUGCGCGCAAGCGCGAUAAGGGGACCCCGAGUGCGAGGGCGUAAAGUUCUCGCUUUUGUAUAUCGUAAGAAGAUACACGAAUAAGGGCUGGGCAAGACCGGUGCCAGCCGCCGCGGUAAUACCGGCAGCUCGAGUGAUGAUCACUAUUAUUGGGCCUAAAGCGUCCGUAGCCGGUCAAACAAGUCCUUCGGUAAAUCCACCCGCUUAACGGGUGGGCUCUCGAGGGAAACUGCUUGACCUGGGACCGGGAGAUCUGAGGGGUACGUCUGGGGUAGGAGUGAAAUCCUGUAAUCCUAGACGGACCAUCGGUGGCGAAAGCGCCUCAGAAGAACGGAUCCGACGGUCAGGGACGAAAGCUAGGGUCUCGAACCGGAUUAGAUACCCGGGUAGUCCUAGCCGUAAACGAUGCUCGCUAGGUGUUGCGAAAGCUGCGUGCUUUUGCUGUGCCGUAGGGAAGCCAUGAAGCGAGCCGCCUGGGAAGUACGUCCGCAAGGAUGAAACUUAAAGGAAUUGGCGGGGGAGCACUACAACCGGAGGAGCCUGCGGUUUAAUUGGACUCAACGCCGGACAUCUCACCAGCACCGACAAUUGCAGUGACAAUCAAGUUAAUGACUUUACUCGAGCCUUUGAGAGGAGGUGCAUGGCCGCCGUCAGCUCGUACCGUGAGGCGUCCUGUUAAGUCAGGCAACGAGCGAGACCCACAUCUCUAAUUGCCAGCAGCAUCCAUGUGAUGGCUGGGUACAUUAGGGAGACUGCCGUCGUUAAGGCGGAGGAAGGAAUGGGCAACGGUAGGUCAGUAUGCCCCGAAUGUGCUGGGCUACACGCGGGCUACAAUGGCCGGGACAAUGGGAUGCAACCCCGAAAGGGGAAGCUAAUCUCCUAAACCCGGUCUCAGUUCGGAUUGAGGGCUGAAA
rnacentral:rRNA from 1 species